rnacentral:rRNA from 1 species
GACGGAGGAUGCAAGCGUUAUCCGGAAUUAUUGGGCGUAAAGCGUCCGCAGGUGGUUAAUCAAGUCUGCUGUCAAAAUGCGAGGCUCAACUUCGUAAAGGCAGUGGAAACUGAUGAACUAGAGCAUGGUAGGGGUAGAGGGAAUUCCUGGUGUAGCAGUGAAAUGCGUAGAUAUCAGGAGGAACACCGGUGGCGAAGGCGGCUUUCUGGACAAAAACUGACGCUGAGGCGCGAAAGCUAGGGGAGCAAACAGG